UUUUGAUUAUGCUAACAACGUGGGAGGAGCUGGAGGCCAAAGUCUUCUUCGGGAGUUGGGGAACCCGCUGGUACGCCAUGAAGGUAGGGGGCUGAACAAAGCUACGGACAUUUUGGCUAAGGCAGGAUGGAAGAAAGAAAGAAGUAAAUCAGUUUUUUGAAGAAUGGACAGUUCCACCUAUGUUUAUUCGUAAAGCUAUUACAAUAGACAAAGAAGAA
rnacentral:lncRNA from 1 species